rnacentral:rRNA from 1 species
AGAGUUUGAUCCUGGCUCAGAAUGAACGUUGGCGGCGUGGAUUAGGCAUGCAAGUCGAGCGAGAACCAGUCUUCGGACUGGGGACAGCGGCGAACGGGGUAGGAAUACCUCGGUGACGUACCCCCCGAUCGGGGAUAGCGGCGGGAAACUGCCGGUAAUACCCGAUGACCUUCCCAAGCUUUACGGCAGGGGAAGCAAAGGUGUGAUUCCGUCGGGGGAGCGGCCGAGGCCGUAUUAGCUGGUUGGUGAGGUAACGGCUCACCAAGGCGAUGAUGCGUAGGGGGUGUGAGAGCAUGGCCCCCACCACUGGCACUGAGACACUGGCCAGACACCUACGGGUGGCUGCAGUCGAGAAUCUUCGGCAAUGGGCGCAAGCCUGACCGAGCGACGCCGCGUGCGGGAUGAAGGUCUUCGGAUUGUAAACCGCUGUCGGAGGGGAUGAAGUGUAGGUGGGUUCUCCCAUCUAUUUGACAGAGCCUCGGAGGAAGCACGGGCUAAGUUCGUGCCAGCAGCCGCGGUAAUACGAACUGUGCGAACGUUAUUCGGAAUCACUGGGCUUAAAGGGUGCGUAGGCGGCGGCACAAGUCAGGUGUGAAAUCCCCCGGCUCAACCGGGGAACAGCGCUUGAAACUAGGUCGCUCGAGUGAGGCAGGGGUGUAUGGAACUUCCGGUGGAGCGGUGAAAUGUGUAGAGAUCGGAAGGAACGCCGGCGGCGAAAGCGGUACACUGGGCCUUGUCUGACGCUGAGGCACGAAAGCUAGGGGAGUGAACGGGAUUAGAUACCCCGGUAAUCCUAGCCG